GGGAAGGGAAGUGAGAGUGUGCUGUGGGCCCCCUCUGCAAAAAACAGGUAGCAGGGGGCCCACAGCACACUCUCACUUCCCUUCCC